rnacentral:rRNA from 1 species
UACGGAGGGUGCAAGCGUUAUCCGGAUUCACUGGGUUUAAAGGGUGCGUAGGCGGGUUGGUAAGUCCGUGGUGAAAUCCCCAAGCUUAACUUGGGAACUGCCGUGGAUACUAUCAAUCUUGAAUAUCGUGGAGGUAAGCGGAAUAUGUCAUGUAGCGGUGAAAUGCUUAGAUAUGACAUAGAACACCAAUUGCGUAGGCAGCUUACUACACGAUCAUUGACGCUGAGGCACGAAAGCGUGGGGAGCGAAUGGG